GCAGUCAGAGGCGAUGAAGGGCGUGCUAAUCUGCGAUAAGCGCCGGUAAGGUGAUAUGAACCGUUAUAACCGGCGAUACCCGAAUGGGGAAACCCAGUGUGACUCGUCACACUAUCAUUAACUGAAUCCAUAGGUUAAUGAGGCGAACCGGGGGAACUGAAACAUCUAAGUACCCCGAGGAAAAGAAAUCAACCGAGAUUCCCCCAGUAGCGGCGAGCGAACGGGGAGGAGCCCAGAGCCUGAAUCAGCAUGUGUGUUAGUGGAAGCGUCUGGAAAGGCGCGCGAUACAGGGUGACAGCCCCGUACACAAAAGCGCAUGUGCUGUGAGCUCGAUGAGUAGGGCGGGACACGUGGUAUCCUGUCUGAAUAUGGGGGGACCAUCCUCCAAGGCUAAAUACUCCUGACUGACCGAUAGUGAACCAGUACCGUGAGGGAAAGGCGAAAAGAACCCCGGCGAGGGGAGUGAAAAAGAACCUGAAACCGUGUACGUACAAGCAGUGGGAGCCCCACCACCAAAGCAUUUGCUGUACCGCGUUGACGGAGCGAAGCGACGUCAAACCGAUAAAACAGCAGUGUAAAGUGAGCCGCAGGGCGCUUUGCGCGACAGCGCAAAGGCAGGCGGUUUCGCGUAGCGAAAGCGAAUGCUUUGGGGUGGGGUGACUGCGUACCUUUUGUAUAAUGGGUCAGCGACUUAUAUUCUGUAGCAAGGUUAACCGAAUAGGGGAGCCGGAGGGAAACCGAGUCUUAAUUGGGCGUUAAGUUGCAGGGUAUAGACCCGAAACCCGGUGAUCUAGCCAUGGGCAGGUUGAAGGUUGGGUAACACUAACUGGAGGACCGAACCGACUAAUGUUGAAAAAUUAGCGGAUGACCUGUGGCUGGGGGUGAAAGGCCAAUCAAACCGGGAGAUAGCUGGUUCUCCCCGAAAGCUAUUUAGGUAGCGCCUCGUGAAUUCAUCUCCGGGGGUAGAGCACUGUUUCGGCUAGGGGGCCAUCCCGGCUUACCAACCCGAUGCAAACUGCGAAUACCGGAGAAUGUUAUCACGGGAGACACACGGCGGGUGCU
rnacentral:rRNA from 1 species